rnacentral:rRNA from 1 species
GCACAAGCGGUGGAGCAUGUGGUUUAAUUCGACGCAACGCGCAGAACCUUACCAGCCCUUGACAUCCCGGUCGCGGACUCCAGAGACGGAGUUCUUCAGUUCGGCUGGACCGGAGACAGGUGCUGCAUGGCUGUCGUCAGCUCGUGUCGUGAGAUGUUGGGUUAAGUCCCGCAACGAGCGCAACCCCCGUCCUUAGUUGCUACCAUUUAGUUGAGCACUCUAAGGAGACUGCCGGUGAUAAGCCGCGAGGAAGGUGGGGAUGACGUCAAGUCCUCAUGGCCCUUACGGGCUGGGCUACACACGUGCUACAAUGGCGGUGACAAUGGGAUGCUAAGGGGCAACCCUUCGCAAAUCUCAAAAAGCCGUCUCAGUUCGGAUUGGGCUCUGCAACUCGAGCCCAUGAAGUUGGAAUCGCUAGUAAUCGUGGAUCAGCACGCCACGGUGAAUACGUUCCCGGGC